AGAUCUAAGGGCGUACGGUGGAUGCCUAGACUGAAAGAAGCGAUGAAGGACGCGGCGUGUCUGCGAUAAGCUUCGGGGAGGUGAUUAGCAACCUUUGAUCCGGAGAUUUCCGAAUGGGGAAACCCUUCCGUGUAAACCACGGAAGCCGUGUCUUACACAGAAUGUCUAAUUUCUAAUUGUCUAAUUCACCUAAUAAAAUUCAAAAAUCUAAAUAACCAAAUAUCAAAUAGAAAUUUCUGUUUGAGAAUUGGACAUUUAUGCAUUUGGGAUUUUAUUAGAAAUUAGGUAAUUAGGUAAAUUAGAAAUUCCGUAUAGGACGCGGCGCGUACCCGCUGAAGUGAAACAUCUCAGUAAGCGGAGGAAUAGAGACCAAUAUAUAGCGCUUACAUUGCAUUACAUUUUAUGCGAUGCGGUGUGAGCGCUUUGGAAUUCCCUAAGUAGCGGCGAGCGAAAAGGGAGAAGCCCAAACCCCCACACCAACUUUGGCAUUGUGUUUUUGUUGCCAAUCAAUGUUGAUAACAGGAAUUUAUUUUUCUGUUUAAAUAAUAUUGUGUGACAAAAAUUACAAAAACACGAGGUAACGAUGCUAAAGUUGGUGUGGGGGGGUUGUAAGAUAACAGCGUCAUUUUUAAAAUGAGAAAAGUUACAAAAUAUUUUGUUAAUUGAAUCUGCUGGAAAGCGGAACCCCAGAAGGUAAUAGUCCUGUAAGUGAAAAUAAAAUAUCUUUUUUGCUGUUACUCUUGAGUAUCCCAAGAUAUGAAUAGCUUGGGUGAAUCUGCCGGAACUAACCGGUAAGGCUAAAUAUUCUUUCAGAUCGAUAGUGAACUAGUACCGUGAGGGAAAGGUGAAAAAUACCCCGGUGAGGGGAGUGAAAUAGAUCUGAAACCGUAUGCCUACAAGGAGUCGGAGCCGUGCUUCGCACGGAAUAUCUAAUAACUAAUUCCUAAUUUCUAAUGAAUUCGUUAAUGUCUAAAUUUUUAAAUUUGGAUAUUGAGAUUUAUUUAGAAAUUAGAAAUUAGAAAUUGGGAAUUCCGCGCGGAGCGCGGUUACGGCGUUCCUAUUGAAGAAUGAGCCAACGAGUUUAUAUAUACUGCUUGGGCUAACCCAGCCGCGGUUUUAGGAAGUGGAAAUUCCAAAAUCGUAAGACCGCGACUGGGGAAGCCAUAGGGAAACCGAGUGUGAAUAGCGCGAAAUUUUGUAGUAUGUAUAAGACCCGAAGCUAGGUGAGCUUGCCAUGGGCAGGGUGAACUAAGAUGAAAGUUUUAGGGAGGCCCGAACCGUUUAGCCGUACAAUACUAUCGGAUGACCUGUGGUAAGGAGUGAAAAGCUAAUCGAACCUAGUAAUAGCUGGUUCUCUCCGAAAUAGCUUUAGGGUUAGCGUUCGGCGUAUCUUUUGGGGGUAGAGCACUGGAAGGCGUAAAUAGGGAGAAAUCUCGUUAUGCCUAUCAAACUCCGAAUACCAAAAGUAAUUACCGAGCAGUUAGACCGUGGGGGCUAAGCUCCACUGGUCAAAAGGGAAACAGCCCAGAUCUCAAGUUAAGGUCCCUAAAUUUACAUUAAGUGCGCUUAAGGUUGUGAUAUUUCUCAGACAAUGAGGAUGUUGGCUUAGAAGCAGCCAUCAUUUAAAGAAAGCGUAACAGCUCACUCAUUCAGAGAUUUCGCGCCGCAGAUUAUCGGGGCUAAAUGUAAUACCGAAACUGAGGGUUUGUGCAUAGCACAAACGAGUUAUAAAGUUAUCAAGUUUGUAAAGUUUAAAGUCAAAUACUUUAUUACUUUUAACUUUUUACUUUUGACUCGCUUGUGCUUUGCACAAGCGGUAGGAGAGCAUUCCAUUCUGCUAUGAAGCCAAAGGGGUAACCCAUGGUGGAGCGUAUGGAAGUGAGAAUGUUGGCACAAGUAACCGCAAUCCCGUUGAGAAUACGGGACGCCGAAAAACCAAGGUUUCCUUGGCGAUGUUAAUCAGCCAAGGGUUAGUCGGGCCUAAGCGUAUGGUGAAAACCGGACGCGAUGGACACACGGUUAAUAUUCCGUGACUUUCUUUUUAUGCGAUGGGGGGACGAAGCGCAGUAUGUUGGGUGUAUUAUUGGAUUUACAUUCAUAGCGUUAGGAUGUUCUUUUGGUAAAUCCGAAGAAUAUAGUCCGAGCGCCGUGAAAAUUUUGCGGCUUCGGCCAAUGAAAAUCUGACAAAGCGCGCUUCCAAGAAAAUCCUCUAAGCACAAUAAAAAGAAAACCGUACCGCAAACCGACACAGGUGGUUGAGUCGAGUAGACUCAGGCGAACGAGUGAUUGUUCCUCAAGGAACUCGGCAAACAAGCGACCGUAACUUCGGGAUAAGGUCUUCCAGCACCUAUUUUACAGAAUGAAUACACACCAAGUAAUUAUAUAUACUUGAGUGUAUAUUAACGAGAAAAAAACGCAUCUGCGUUUUUUNNNNNNNNNNNNNNGCAGAUAUAAGCCCUGGUGAAUGUCGGCCGUAACUAUAACGGUAGUUUUGCUACGCUUUUCUCAUAUUGUUAAAAUAUGAAAAAAGAAACAAAAAGGGCCGUUGUAAAAUUUGGCUAUAUGCUGGAAAAUCUGCAAUGAACUUUUAGUACCUUGAUGGUAAAAAUCUAAAAGCCGACGCAGACAAUCAGCAGGAAAGAUUCUAAGAGUGUCAUCUAACACGAUGACAAUACAACAAAAACAUAAAGAAUAUUAUAAUCGUCUUUCAAAACUGCAAGGAAAAUAUCUAAACUAUUUUGUUGCAGGUUUUGUAGACGGUGAAUCGAGUUUCAGUGUCGCGAUGACGCGGCAAAAGUAUCCAUUGUUAGCGAAAGGAUGGAAAUGGAUUCUUAACCCGGUCUUUAAUGUGUAUCAACACGAGAACAAUAAAGACAUACUUCUUCUUUUAAAAGACAAAGUAUUUAAAACGGGGAGAAUUCAUAGAAAAACUUCUCCGUAUAAUGUGUUUACUUAUACAAUUGAAAACAAUAAAACGCUUCAUAAAAAAAUAAUACCUUUCUUUAACAAAUAUCAACUUGCCACUAAAACGGAAGAUUUUAAUAAAUUUUCAAAAAUAGUGGAUAUGGUGGAUAAAAAGACCCAUCUUGAUAUGGAAGGAUUUAAACGAAUUGUAGAUAUAGCAUUCACUAUGAAUGCUCAAGGUAAAAAUCGAAAAUACUCAAAAGAGUAUAUUUACGAAACAUUAUCAGAUCAAUUCGACACUCUUAGAAAAUCCUCAGAGACUACACGCCAAAAUCAGUAAGUUAUACUGAUAAGAUAUAGUCCAUAAGGUGCUUUAAAACUCUUGUUUUAAAGAUCGAAUGCCUAAGGUAGCGAAUUUCCUUGUCUGGUAAAUUCAGACGCGCACGAAUGGCGUAAUGACCUGGAAACUGUCUCGAGGAACAGCUCGGUGAAAAUGCAAUACCGGUGAAGACGCCGGUUACCUGCAGCUAGACGAAAAGACCCCAGGAGCUUUACUGUAGCUUCGUAUUGGGAUUGCGAUUUAAUUGCGUAGCAUAGGCGGGAGACUUUGAUGUUUAUCUUUUGGGAUAAGCGGAGUCGUCAGUGAAAUACCGCUCUAUUAAAUUUCAAUUUCUAACCACGACGGUAAAAACGGCGCGGAACAGUGCGUGGCGGGCAGUUUUGUUGGGGCGACAUCCUCCUAAAAAGUAACGGAGGAGUUUAUUAAGGUUGGCUAGGCGCGAAUGGAAACCGUGCCGAUAGUGUAAUGGCACAAGCCAGCUUGACUGCGACUCGUACAUGAGAAGCAGAUGCGAAAGCAGAACAUAGUGAACCGAUGGUCCGCUUUAGACGCGGCCAGAGAUCAACGGAUAAAAGCUACCCUGGGGAUAACAGGCUGGUUCCGCCCAAGAGUUCAUAUCGACGGCGGAGUUCGGCACCUUAACUCUCAACUAAACACUGAGAAACAUCGGGGUGCCUAUGAGAGUAAUCUCAUACAAAAACAAUUUGGCUUAUAACGGUGGACUCCAUACGCAGGUCUUAUAUCAUAAUAAUGAUAUAAUUGAGCGUAUGGACAAUACCGUGGGAAGUCUAACUCAAUUACAAAAGUCAUUUCUCACUGGAACUCUUUUAGGAGACGGAUAUAUCCGUCAAGCAAAAUGGAUAAAAAAUGCAUUUCUUGAGGUAAAUCAUUCAAUAACUCAAAGAGAGUAUGUUGAAUGGAAAUACGAAAUCAUUAAAAAUUUAACGCGAACUGGUCCAAAAUAUAGAAAAGGAAAUGGGAACCGGAUAGCAUAUAGAUUUUUUACAAAACAACAUCCUGAAUUUACAAGAAUAAUGGAUUUGUUUUACAGAGAUAAAAAGAAAUGUAUUCCUGAUCUAAUAUUAGAUUCAAUGAGUUUGGCAGUAUGGUUUAUGGAUGAUGGCAGUAGGUGUGGUAAAAGCAAUGUUUAUCUUAAUACUCAGCAAUUUUCAAAAGAUGAUCAGUAUAAAUUACUGAAAUAUUUAGAAAAUAUGGGAUUAAACGGGACAUUGAAUAAAGACAAAGAAUAUUAUCGCAUCAGAUUGACAUCAUUCAGUAUUUCUAAACUAUUUGGAAUAAUUGAAAAACAUAUUAUUCCAUCUAUGAAAUACAAAAUUGGGUUAUGACCCUGUAGAGACUUGACCUUAACUGGUCGGAGUGUGAAGGAAAACUUCAUGCUAAUACGCCGAACCCCAGCACUUAUUUUUGUUUUUGCAAAAAUAAGUGCUGGGUGAAGAUAUAGUCCGAUCCUUCCGGUAACGGAAGAAAAAUACGACAUAGCGAUGUCGGCUCAACUUAUCCUCCUGCUGAAGAAGGUGGGAAGGGUUUGGCUGUUCUCCAAUUAAAAAGUUACGCGAGCUGGGUAAGUGUAAAUGAGCCCAGCUAAAGACAAUCUGCGAGGUAUAUAAAUAAAAGAUAAGAAAUAAACUGACUCAUAACGGUGAAGUCCUAAUUUCUAUAAUAAAAUAUGGAAAUGGGUAAUAUCGUGGGAAGUCGUCCAGCACUUAUUUUAGAAAAAAUAAAAUAAGUGCUGAAUUGACCCCGUAACGACUUGUCUAUAAAAUAGGCAGAGCGUUUUGCUUAAAGCAGACGCUAAUAUGUCAGUUUUUGCGUUGAAAAACGCAAGAAAAGGUAUAGUCUGUCCCGCCAGUAAUGGCGGACAAAACAAUCGUCAGACCGUCGAGCGACGAAGUCGCUCGACACUUCAAAAAAUUCAGACUUCGUAAUUCGACAGUCUGAACAAACAUUAGUUUUUUCGUCUAUGAAAUAAAGUUUUAAUUCUGAUUAACUUCAGAGUUAGAGUUCCGAUAAACAUAAUCGGAAAUAGGAACAACCAUCACGGCGGCUAUAAUUAUCAGUUAAUAGAUAUUAGCUGAUAAUUAUAGACAAGCUGGGGUUAUCGGUGGAAUCCUGAAGAGAGGACAAUACCGAGAGGAUAUUUUAUCCUUGUAGAGACUAUAAACCAGCCUUUAGAUUAUUCUAAAGAUAGUAUAGUCCGAUCCCGCCGGUAACGGCGGCGUUAAGAGUUUUGGAUUUUUGGAUUAACUUUCAAACUUUCUAAUUUAUAAACUUUUAACUACUAUUGCGUGAGACAGGUUGGUCUCCUAUCUGCUGCAGGCGUCGAUUUUUGAGAAGAGCUUUGGAUAGUACGAGAGGACCUUCAAGGACUGACCUCUGGUGUAGGAGCUGUUCCGCCAGGAGCACCGCUCCGUAGCUAUGUCGGGAAUGGAUAACCGCUGAAAGCAUCUAAGCGGGAAGCCAACUUCAAGAUUAGAAAUCAUAGAUCCCUAGGAGAUGACUAGGUUGAUAGGCCUUAGGUGUAAGCGCGGCAACGCGUUCAGCCGAGAGGUACUAAUUCAUCAUUUUCUCUUAU
rnacentral:rRNA from 1 species